ACCCCCUGGGUGUGCGAGAAGGUGCUGACAGGUUUCACAUGCCUGUACGAGAUGUGCCUCCCUCAAACCUGGUCACGGACUUGGUGCCUUACCCGUGCGAUA